rnacentral:pre_miRNA from 14 species
UCUUCUGGAGAUCCUGAGUUCAAUUGCCAGCAACUGAAAGAUCCCGGAAGAGAGACCCUUUCUAAAGUCUCGGGAAAUCGCGGACCCCAGACACAGAGAGACCA